AGGUUGUUAGUUUAGUGGUAGAAUUACGGUCUCCAACACCGAAGACAAAGGUUCGAUUCCUUUACAACCUGCCA
rnacentral:tRNA from 1 species